rnacentral:rRNA from 1 species
GAGUUUGAUCAUGGCUCAGAUUGAACGCUGGCGGCAGGCCUAACACAUGCAAGUCGAACGCGAAAGUCCUUCGGGAUGAGUAGAGUGGCGGACGGGUGAGUAACGCGUAGGAAUCUGUCCGGUAGUGGGGGAUAACGUUCCGAAAGGAACGCUAAUACCGCAUACGCCCCAUGGGGGAAAGAGGGGGAUUCUUCGGAACCUCUCGCUAUCGGAGGAGCCUGCGUCGGAUUAGCUAGUUGGUAGGGUAAAGGCCUACCAAGGCGACGAUCCGUAGCUGGUCUGAGAGGAUGAUCAGCCACACCGGAACUGAGACACGGUCCGGACUCCUACGGGAGGCAGCAGUGGGGAAUAUUGCGCAAUGGGGGAAACCCUGACGCAGCCAUGCCGCGUGUGUGAAGAAGGCCUUCGGGUUGUAAAGCACUUUCAGAGGGGAGGAAAGGGCGCUGGCUAAUAUCCAGCGCAGUUGACGCUACCCUCAGAAGAAGCACCGGCUAAUUCCGUGCCAGCAGCCGCGGUAAUACGGAAGGUGCGAGCGUUAAUCGGAAUUACUGGGCGUAAAGCGCGCGUAGGCGGCUUGGUAAGUCGGGUGUGAAAGCCCCGGGCUCAACCUGGGAACGGCACUCGAUACUGCUGGGCUAGAGUACGAGAGAGGGGGGUGGAAUUCCAGGUGUAGCGGUGAAAUGCGUAGAGAUCUGGAGGAACACCGGUGGCGAAGGCGGCCCCCUGGUUCGAUACUGACGCUGAGGUGCGAAAACGUGGGGAGCAAACAGGAUUAGAUACCCUGGUAGUCCACGCCGUAAACGAUGUCUGCUAGCCGUGGGGAUCCUUGAGGUCUCGGUGGCGCAGCUAACGCGAUAAGCAGACCGCCUGGGGAGUUCGGCCGCAAGGUUAAAACUCAAAUGAAUUGACGGGGGCCCGCACAAGCGGUGGAGCAUGUGGUUUAAUUCGAUGCAACGCGAAGAACCUUACCAGGUCUUGACAUCCAGCGAACUGUCCAGAGAUGGACGGGUGCCUUCGGGAGCGCUGAGACAGGUGCUGCAUGGCUGUCGUCAGCUCGUGUCGUGAGAUGUUGGGUUAAGUCCCGUAACGAGCGCAACCCUUGUCCUUAGUUGCUAGCGGUUCGGCCGAGCACUCUAGGGAGACUGCCGGUGACAAACCGGAGGAAGGUGGGGACGACGUCAAGUCAUCAUGGCCCUUACGACCUGGGCUACACACGUGCUACAAUGGCCGGUACAGAGGGCUGCGAAGGGGCGACCUGGAGCGAAUCCUUGAAAACCGGUCGUAGUCCGGAUCGGAGUCUGCAACUCGACUCCGUGAAGUCGGAAUCGCUAGUAAUCGCGAAUCAGAAUGUCGCGGUGAAUACGUUCCCGGGCCUUGUACACACCGCCCGUCACACCAUGGGAGUUGACUGCACCAGAAGUAGGUAGCUUAACCGCAAGGAGGGCGCUUACCACGGUGUGGCCAAUGACUGGGGUGAAGUCGGAACAAGGUA